rnacentral:rRNA from 1 species
GACGAACCGCACAAACGUUAUUCGGAAUCACUGGGCUUAAAGGGUGCGUAGGCGGUCCGGAAAGUUGGGUGUGAAAUCCCUCGGCUCAACCGAGGAACUGCGCUCAAAACUACCGGACUUGAGGGAGAUAGAGGUGAGCGGAACUCAGGGUGGAGCGGUGAAAUGCGUUGAUAUCCUGAGGAACACCAGUUGCGAAGGCGGCUCACUGGGUCUUUUCUGACGCUGAGGCACGAAAGCUAGGGGAG